rnacentral:rRNA from 1 species
CUUUAUUGGAGAGUUUGAUCCUGGCUCAGGAUGAACGCUGGCGGCGUGCCUAAUACAUGCAAGUCGAGCGAAUGGAUUAAGAGCUUGCUCUUAUGAAGUUAGCGGCGGACGGGUGAGUAACACGUGGGUAACCUGCCCAUAAGACUGGGAUAACUCCGGGAAACCGGGGCUAAUACCGGAUAACAUUUUGAACCGCAUGGUUCGAAAUUGAAAGGCGGCUUC